GAGGGUAUAGCUCAAGUGGUAGAGCACAUGCUUAGCAUGCAUAAGGUCCUGGGUUCAAUCCCUGGUACCUCCU
rnacentral:tRNA from 1 species